rnacentral:rRNA from 1 species
CCUACGGGAGGCAGCAGUGAGGAAUAUUGGUCAAUGGUCGGGAGACUGAACCAGCCAAGCCGCGUGAGGGAUGAAGGUACAGAGUAUCGUACACCUCUUUUGUCAGGGAACAAAGGCGGGGACGUGUCCCCGGUUGAGUGUACCUGAAGAAAAAGCAUCGGCUAACUCCGUGCCAGCAGCCGCGGUAAUACGGAGGAUGCGAGCGUUAUCCGGAUUUAUUGGGUUUAAAGGGUGCGCAGGCGGUCUGUCAAGUCAGCGGUCAAAGCCCGGGGCUCAACCCCGGCCCGCCGUUGAAACUGGCAGUGCCGAGUUGGAGAGAAGUAUGCGGAAUGCGCGGUGUAGCGGUGAAAUGCAUAGAUAUCGCGCAGAACUCCGAUUGCGAAGGCAGCAUGGCGGCUCCACACUGACGCCGAGGCACGAAAGCGUGGGUAUCGAACAGGAUUAGAUACCCGAGUAGUC